AUUAGCUUGCUAAGAGGUGGACAGCGGCGAAUGGGAGAGNUACGCGUGGUUACGUGCGCCGAGGUCCAGGAUAGCGUAGGGAAACCGGCGGUAAUACUGGAUGAUAUCUUCGGAUCAAAGGUGUGAUUCCGCCUUGGGAUCGGACCGCGUACUAUNAGCUUGUAGGUGGGGUAAUGGCCUACCAAGGCUGUGAUGGUUACCGGGUGUGAGAGCAUGGCCCGGCUCACUGAGACUGAGACACUGCCCAGACACCUACGGGUGGCUGCAGUCGAGAAUCUUCGGCAAUGGACGAAAGUCUGACCGAGCGACGCCGCGUGCGGGAUGAAGGCCCUCGGGUUGUAAACCGCUGUCAGUUGGAAGGAAGGGCCUGUGCAGAGCAGGUCUUGACCGAUCUUCAGAGGAAGGACGGGCUAAGUUCGUGCCAGCAGCCGCGGUAAGACGAACCGUCCAAACGUUAUUCGGUAUCACUGGGCUUAAAGCGUGCGUAGGCGGCCUGGAAGGUGAGAUGUGAAAGCCCACGGCUCAACCGUGGAAUUGCGUUUCAAACCGCCAGGCUUGAGGAAGACAGGGGUGUUGGGAACUUAUGGUGGAGCGGUGAAAUGCGUUGAUAUCAUAGGGAACACCGGUGGCGAAGGCGCAACACUGGGUCUUUUCUGACGCUGAGGCACCGAAAGCUACGGUAGCGAACGGGAUUAG
rnacentral:rRNA from 1 species